GCCUGGGUGGCCGAGCGGUUCUAGGCGCUACAGUCUAGGACGCUGCGGUCGCAGGUUCGAAUCCUGCCUCGGGCA